UACGGAGGGGGCAAGCGUUGUUCGGAUUUAUUGGGCGUAAAGCGCGUGUAGGCGGUACGGUAAGUCGGAUGUUAAAGACCCACGGCUCACCCGGGGGAGUGCGUUCGAUACUGCCGUGCUAGAGUGCAGGAGAGGAAAGUGGAAUUCCUGGUGUAGCGGUGAAAUGCGUAGAUAUCAGGAGGAACACCGGUGGCGAAGGCGGCUUUCUGGCCUGUAACUGACGCUGAGAC
rnacentral:rRNA from 1 species